AAUAAGAACUUAUCAAACAAUACCUGCUGGUUUCUUAUAUCCUUCAAAUCAAUUAGGUCAAAAAACUUCAGUGCUCAGAUUCAAGCAGGUCACAACUGCGUCGAGUAAUCCUGAGAAUCCACACGACAUGGAUAAGGCUCAGAGCCCAAAUGAGAAAUCCAAAGAAGCAAUAGAACAUGGGUUAGUUCCUUGAUUGGCAAUAGCUUUUAACAUAGCAUUUAAAGUUAAAAUUUAGUGUUUUAACUAUGAAGUUAAAAACAUUAUUUCAUAUUAUUUCUAUGGUGUAGCAUAAAAAGAAAGUUUUUGAAUUUGAUUGGGUGGAUUAUGAAAUGUUAGUCUUUAUCAUGUUUCAUCUUUAUUAUGUUCAUUUUUUAAUAAAAUGCCGGUAAAACAGCUGAUUAUAGUUAAUUUUACCGGACAUAGUCUUUUUUUGUUUGAAUUGAUUAAUUAUCGCAAUUAACUUCUUUUUUUGUUUGUUUUGUUUUCGUGCUUGCGUGUACACAAGGGAUGUAAUGUCCCAUUCAUUUGGACAAGCGUAUGCCACGAGAUCUGAUGAAGAAGGAUUUGGUGGAAUUUAUGGAGGAAAUCAAUCAUGUGAUAACGAUGAUGAUAAUAAUGGCAAGAAAAUCCAUGAGAAUCACCCCGGUACCUACAUUUAUUUUAUAUGAUCUCAGCAACUGUCGUCUUCUUUAUUUGCUUUCAUUAUUUGUUAUUGUGAAUUGGUGCCAGUCUUUUACAUUUUUUUUGUUUUGUCUAUUUGGGAAUGUAUGAAGAUUAUGACAGGAGCCAGGGAAGUGAAGUGAAGGAGAAGGAAAAAGGACGAAACUCGACCAAAUGCUAAGUCCUAAUGCAUAGUUUAAAAAUCAAAUUUAUGCAUUAAGGAGUUGUUAUUACCUUUUUUUUUUUUUUGUGUGUGUGCCUAAUAAAUCUAUCCUUUUUUUUUUUUUUUGUGUGUGUGCCUAAUAAAUCUAUGUCAAGAAUCAUGACUUCAACGCCAGCAAAUGAUGCUUUUGUUCUUUGUUUGAAGGUUGGGUAUGAUUUUUCAUACAUUGUUGAUAUUCUAUGGAAGGGUUUUAUUUUGAAAUCUUUGCUUUAUGGCUUGAUUGAGGAAUGUAUACAUUUGCAUCUAAUAGGUUGUACUUCGUUAAUUCUCUCAACAUUAAUCGAGUAGAAAGGCAGGAUGUUUCUUUUUUUAUAUAUAGACUUCAGUACGUCGGUUUGGUCUUCAACAUUAAACCAGUUAGUUUGGUAUAUCAUUCAGUUAAAUGAUUUGAAAUUAAAAAUUAAGUA
rnacentral:lncRNA from 1 species